rfam:Arabis alpina cultivar Pajares chromosome 6, whole genome shotgun sequence.
ACUCCAUGGUGAGGGCAAGAUCUAGUGUAACCCUUCAAUCUUUCCCAUGCUUCAUAAAGUGAUUCAUUUGGACCUUGCUUGAAGCUUGUGAUGUCAUUUCUAAUCU